rnacentral:misc_RNA from 1 species
AAGUCAUAACAAGGUUUCCGUAGGUGAACCUGCGGAAGGAUCAUUAGAGAUGCCGAAAGGCUUUUCCAAACACCUGUGCACCGGCCCGAAGCCCGAGAGGGCCGACGGCCACCUUACACACAAACUCGUGUCACGAACGUAACAUAUCAUAAUCAAAAACAACUUUCAACAACGGAUCUCUUGGCUCUC